UAUUAUGUAUAUGCAUGGAAUAACAGCUAUAACAUAAAGUAUUUAAUUAAGUUGAUUUUUCAUUUGCUGCUACAUAUUUAUAAAAUUUACAAUAAAAAUGUGUCAGUGAAAUCGGGGUAUCGACCCUUAAUUAGCUUAGAAGGACAUGAUUGGAAUAAUGGUUCCUAAUAUAUGAUUUUUUUUUUCUUUUCGAAAGUCAAAUGAGAGUUUGGUUUAUUUACUUUUG
rnacentral:lncRNA from 1 species